AAGUCGUAACAAGGUUUCCGUAGGUGAACCUGCGGAAGGAUCAUUAUCGAGUUCUUUGUUAGGUUGUAGCUGACCUCUUACCGGAGGUAUGUGCACGCUUGACUUAUCCAACUCUUCAACCCUUUGUGCACCUUUUGUAAGGAGUGGCGAACGUCGGCUUCUUCAGUCGACUGCAGUCUCCUUCUUACGUCUUUUUAUCACAAACGUCUCAGUCACAGAAUGUCAUUACUUUGCGGAUAACGCGAUGUUUAAUACAACUUUCAGCAACGGAUCUCUUGGCUCUC
rnacentral:misc_RNA from 1 species